rnacentral:rRNA from 1 species
CAAAGGCUCCAAAGGAAGCCACGGCUAACUCUGUGCCAGCAGCCGCGGUAAUACAGAGGUGGCGAGCGUUGUUCGGAAUUAUUGGGCGUAAAGAGCACGUAGGUGGGUUUGCAAGUCAGAUGUGAAAGCCUUCUGUUCAACGGAAGAAUUGCAUCUGAAACUGCUGAUCUUGAGUAUAGGAGGGGAGAAUGGAACUUCUGGUGGAGCGGUGAAAUGCGUAGGUAUCAGAAGGAACGCCGGCGGCGAAAGCGAUUCUCUGGCCUAUUACUGACACUCAGUGUGCGAAAGCUGGGGGAGCAAACGGGAUUAGAUACCCCGGUAGUCCUAGCUGUAAA